CGGGUGCGCCAGGCGUGCCAGGAAAGCCUGGGGGACCAAUGGGACCGGGUGGCCCUGGGGGUCCCCGCUGUCCUGGUAAGCCCUGCUCGCCUCUCUCACCCGGGACACCUGGGGUGCCAGGGAGCCCAGGGUCACCCGCACAGUCUGCGUCCGGGCUGUCACCCCGAGCCUCCUCAGCUCUUGGGAACUGGGCAAAGCAACGUGCACAACCCUCGUUGCCGGGGGCUCCUGGCAUGCCUUGGUCUCCCUUUUCCCCCUUGAAGCUUCUGGGUGCUUCAAAGGCCGCCUGCAGGUGGGCGCAGUCCCCGC
rnacentral:lncRNA from 1 species